rnacentral:rRNA from 1 species
GACGAACCGUCCGAACGUUAUUCGGAAUCACUGGGCUUAAAGAGUGCGUAGGCGGCUUAUCAGGCGGGAUGUGAAAUCCCUCGGCCCAACCGAGGAACUGCGUUCCGAACCGAUAGGCUUGAGGAGGAUAGAGGCGAGCGGAACUGAUGGUGGAGCGGUGAAAUGCGUUGAUAUCAUCAGGAACACCUGUGGCGAAAGCGGCUCGCUGGGUCCUUACUGACGCUGAGGCACGAAAGCCAGGGGAGCGAAC